GGAGCUCAUUAUGUGAAAUAGGGUAAUGGGUUCGAACCCAAUUGUCUAGGGACCUAAUAACCCAAACUCUCUUUAUUAAACCCUCCAUAUAAAAGCCCAGAACCUCUCUCGUUCUCAUUAGGGCUGAGUUAGAGAGAAGAGAAUAGGCAAGCAAGAUAUCUUAUUCAUCACAAAGGCAAGUGAUUUCUUGCUCAAACUUUGUUUUUAAAAUUCUAAGUUAUGGGUUUUGGAGAUCCCAUUCUCCUCCAUCUUUUGAUGUAAGCAAGUUUAUGAAUGUUUAGUUUUUAAUCAAGUUUUUAAUGUUUAGUUUUCUAUUUUCAUUGGAUUUCAUCUAGGGGAGGAUUUCUCUAAGAGAUGGAUCUCAAUCCGCCAUCUUCUUUUAAGGAGAAGUACCUAUUGUUGUAAUGUAAUAAUAACUUUGCAAAUCCAAGUCUUUGAUCCAUGUUUUGAUGUGAUUUUUCUGUUUGUUUUGAUUAGAUCUUGCUCUCUGUGAUCUCUGCUAUGUUUUAAAUCAUUAGGAUUGUCCCAAUUUUUGGUUGGAAUGACAUCUCGAGAGCUUUAAUGGUGAUUUUUGACAUGCUUGGUUAUUUGAUGUGAAACUUUUUGGAAUAGACUCUCCUUAGCAGUAGAAAACUUGGGUCGGAUUUACUUUUUGAUUUGGUUUUGUAUCGAUAAAGUUUUAGAUCAAAUUAGUUGAAACAAACGGGUAUUUCAUUAAAAGAGGGUUUUUACAAUUACAUUCAUUGGAAAUAUUUUGUGAGAUGUUCUAUAUUCCAAUGAUGCUUAAAGGCCCUCCCAUCAUGGCCCUGUAAUAACUAGUAUAUUCCCGGACAUGCUUCCUUGAGAAUAGAGUAAGGGCCCUCCCAGCUAGCGACGAGCUUGUCAUUACGAUUUUUUUUUAAAGUGGCUUAUUGGAGGACUAAAUCUCCAAUUUUUGAACCUUCGGGAUCGGACUCGGUUAUUAUAAUGUCAGGCAAUGCUUUGUUGAUUGAAGACUUGCAAGCAGAGCAUUUGUUCCCUGAAUUCAUCGACGAGGUCGAGUUUGUUCUGUAGGGCGGCUUCGUUGGGUUUCUUCAUUAAAGUGUUGUAGGCGUAGAGUAGGCAUGAGACUAAUGCUUAUAUCACCAACCCUGAUGAAUCCAAUCGUAGAGACAUGGGCGGAUCUUUUUACAUCUUAGGUAUUGAACCUAGACCGAAAGUCAUUAUGACUAUGACUUCCGCACUUUCUCCCAUUGUUGAGCAAAAAUAUCUCCCCCCUCAUGGCUAACCCAAUAGGGAAGGCAAUUUUUGCCCAUACCUAUUUACCCACCUAGCCCGACCAUCAGUAGGCCCGCCCAAAACCCACCCAUUUAGUUAAAUAGGCCUAAUCGGGUGGGUUUAUUUUAAACCAUUCUAAAUGGGCAGUGAACGGGCGGUGCUUAUUUACUCGUUUGCCUGCCCGAUCCCCAAAACCAAAACCCGAAGGCCGAACCCCUAAAUGUCUAAAUCUCUCUCUUUUUCUCGGCGACUGAGCUCCUCAUCAUCCCGACCCCGCCUCCUCCUCCUCUACCUCCUCCUCCGCUGCCUCAACCGCCUCUCGAACCCAGAGCCUCCGACGUCGCCUCGGCUUUACCUUUUCCGUUGAAAUCAUCGCCACGCCCAUCGCCGGUGUGUCCUACGUCAGCACGCCGGUCCCAGAGAUCUCUCAAAAGGAAUUCCAAAGCUCUCGACUCAAAGUCUUCGAUUGAGAUCUUAAAAGGAAACAGGGUUCAUGAGGUGUUACAAUCAAGAAAACUAAUCUUGCUUUGAUCUUCGGCAUUUAUGAUGAGCCAAUGACUCUUGGGCAGUGCAAUAUGAUUGUUGAGAGGCUUGGUGAUUAUCUCAAUGUGUAGGGAUUUUAGGUUUGUUGUGUUUCCUUUUUCUAUUCGAGUUUGGUGUGGUCUCUCGCAUUGCAAUGCUUGAAAUGAAUAAUUGUCAGUUCAGCAAUUAUGUGGACUCUCGUGAGGGGUUUGAUGUUUGGUUAAUGUGUUUGUUAUGAU